CUGAAGGGAGAACAGCUCCAGGACAAAGUCUUUCUGAGAAGAAGUGCUCUACAGCUAGAGACUCCCAUCUCAAGUUGGAGGAAAAUCUUCAUGCUGGUAGCUAAGUCUCCGUGGGUUCCUGAUGGUUAUUAUCUAGUCCUCCAACGUCGUUAAAGAUCCAGCUCUAUUUUUAGAGAUGCUGUUGACAUGCCUCGUGGUCCUCGGCUCUUCUUAGGCUCCCAGGAGACAUUUGGCACCUCAGGGCUUUAACAUCUCAGAAGAACAUCUCAAGCUAUCUAAACCUGGCUGUUCUAAAGGACAUUACUCGUAACUCCAUAACUGGUGUCUGCUACAGGCAGGGACAAGUGCAGAGGCAAGAGGGAGAUGUAAAAGCAGCGGUUCAAAGAGAUGCAAAAAGGUGCACAAGAGACAGUGGAACCAAGUCCAAAAACACUGCCGAGCUGGUGCCUUCAGGAAUUGCAUGCUGAAGCAUGGGCACAGAGGCUGAGUGCUAGUCAUGAUGGUGUUAAAUGAAUGGAAGAACAUUCUGCAGGUGGAGCGUUUCCAAGAGUUUGUGUUUGGCUUUAUUUUCUGGAGGAUUAACCUUGAACCCUUCUUCUCCAUGCAUAGACCAAGGAAAGAAACAAACGUUUUGUCUGAGAUCAGAUCCAUCAAGGUAAGACAUAUCAAAGUAUGUUAGCAAGAAAUAAAGGCCUUAAAUAAUGUUUCUCAUAAAACAUUGAAGUUUUGCUGUUCCAGAAACUUGCAGCCAUAGGUUUGCAUAAAUGUGGAUCCAAACGUAAUUUGAAUUAUCAAAUAAAACAGUCAACGUGUUGCACAGCCAGCACAGUUCAGCUCUGCCUACUUUCACCUACUGGUUAGACAACAAAUUUGGUGUCUUUUUCAGGGCAGGACCACAGUUUAUCACCCACCUUGACCAGACAGCUUUCUAUUCAAGCUGGGUUGAAAUGGUUAAACAACAGGCAGCAGGUUAUACGCGAGGAUUCUCUUUGGUAACCUAAUUUUACCCUUUGACUUUGUGCACUCGUUCCAUCUUCAAAAAAAUCGAGUUUCAAAGAAAGAAAAACUAACAAAGGUCCAGCACCAGAAGGUGAGAAACAUUUCCUAUGAGGUACUGAGCAUCGUCUACUGUUAUUAAUAUUUUUUAUCUUGCCUGUCAACUGAGGCAGAAAGCCGAUUUCCUGGGAGGUCAAAUAUGCACUGUGGAGGUCACAGCUGCAAUAACAAGGCAUUACAUUCUGUUCCCCUGUGUUCUAUUCACGUAAGGAUGGGUGAGGGGCCCAGUGUGUUGAUCGAUAUAUCAACGGUUCUCUAGCUGAAAGGGAGUAUAUGCUUCUGAGAAGAAAUAAUGGGAGAAAAAAAGUCCCUCAGUUUCUAGUGUAACAAGCACUUGAGGGCAUGAAAGCUAUUGCAGCUCCUGGUUUUAGUAAAUGAAUUGAAGGAAAUGUUUUUAUCCAAUCGUUUCUCAGCUCUGAGUUAAAAAUAAGCCAUUUCCUAAAUUAUGGAGACUGCCUAGAGCUAACUCUAUCCCACAGAUAAGACAGCUAUGUAAGGCCAAUGAAAUAUUUCUGAUUAUUAUUAUUUAUUCAUUCCUGAAUUAUUUAACACCCAGAGGUCUCAGACGGAAUCAGGCUCCCACAGAGUUCGCUGCUCUGUUUGCUUUGUGGAUGGGCAGUGAGGAGACUCCUGGCUGCUUCCUUGCACCGUGAGUGCUAUGAUGGGCAGCAGCAAACACUCAGAGGAAAGAAAAGCCAUCAUCUGGUACUGACUGCCUUGAGAUAUUUGCCCUUUGUGCUCUCAGAGCAAUAAUUCAAAAUACUUUUGGCAAGGGACAGGGCAUGUAUCAUAACAUAGUUCAUUUAUUUGGGCUAUUUGUAAACCUCUGCUCCUGCUUAACUUGAUUUACUCAAGUAAACACCCUGAAAAAAUAAACCAGAGAAAGGAUAACUUAAAGAAUAACAUUAAAAUUGGCAUGGCACUCCAACAAGAAUACCAGCAUUUGUGCAAGUAGUUAUUUCACGCACUGCAUCUGGUGACUGCAGGAUCUUGUGUGCUGAGAAACGCGCUCAGCAGGAUAAAUAGUCCAGGUCUCGGUUCCACGUUGGGCCCUACCUCAAACCAACCAUCCUUACCAAGAAGUGACAUCAAGUGAGUAGUGAGCAACUGAUAUUAUGUUCUUGUGGAACGAGGGCCAAAUGUGACCCUUAAUGCUGCCACGUUCUUUAAAAAUAGCUUUUCUAGUGAUAACUCCUCCAAAGAAUAAUGAUCAAGUGCAAGGACAGAGUCAUAACAAUGCCGUUCUUUCAGGCAGAAGGUGAUCUUUAUGUCAAGGAAAGCCAAAAGCUUGCUGAAGUUCAUAAUGGUCUGUGUCAAGUUGAGGGUUUUAACAUCCAAUCUCUGCCCUAUCUGAGCUUGAAGGAUGUUAUUUUCCAGUCACAGGAGAAUGUGAGAGGAACUCAACAUACCUCACUGGACUUCUCCUAAAAAGCAGUUUACCAUCUGUUAGGCCAACAUCACAAUAUUCCAGUAUGAUAAAUCUGCAGAUCAAUAUUUAUCAUACAAUCCUUCUGAGAAUGGAAAAAAAAAAAAAGAAUCAAAACUGCCAAUAUUUUAAUUGUUUCAUUUAAAUGUCUCUGUAACAGGUUUAAUAUUUCCAUUAAUGUGGUUGUGCUUUUGUAGAUGGGAGAAAUGAUCACUCGUGAUCCAGUAUGGCAACUUACUUAUAUUAUCUGAGGUCCUGUCUUAAUUCCUUCUGAGAUUUCCCAUGUGAGCAUCAAAUGCUGCAGUGAUUCUCAGAAAUGCACUUCCAGGGGUUAUGAAGCAUCUUUUGGACUAGUAGGAAAAAUUCUGAGAUCUGAACCUGUAAUGCUAUAAUGUGAUGGAAAGUACAGCGAUAGUAGUAGGGUAGCACAAUCCUAGACUACAGGAAAUGAGAACAAGCCCAAAUGCAGCAGCUGUGGAUGCAAAAAAAAUGCUUACCUUUGGAAGACCUCCAGUAGGCAGGGAUCUCCAGAGAGAUACCCUUGCCUCCACUGCCAACCCUUAAAUGAGGUCUGGGAAAGGGUGGAUCCUGGCCAGAAGCAGUGGCCCUUCUGGGCACUCAGGUGCAUUGCAGGUUGGCCCUGCCUUCCCACCAGGUGCUCAAUCCCUGGUUCAAGCCGUGACUUAGCAUUUAUGCUACAGAACCUCUAUGGGGGAAUGACUGGCGCCAGUGAAGAGGCACAGUAAGUCAGCUCACACCACUUUUCCCAGCAGAAUAAGCAAUGUCUGCUGCACUAAACCAAGUGCAACUCUUGUCAGAGAAAUACUAGAUGCUGUGUGAGCAAACACUGCAAACUAUUAAUAGCUCUUCAAAAACCUGAGCAGCCUUGAAUACCCAUAGCUAGUCAAGGAUGCUUCUUUGAAAUGCAAGUGGGUAGAGCUGCAGUGUGUGCGACUAAUCUCUGCUGGAGUGCAUGGGAAUACCUUUGGUAUCCAAACCCACAGCACCAAACCAACAGGCAGACGUUCAUCUCUGGACAGGAGAUAUUGGUCGCCUACCAAGAUCAGUACACGACACAGCUGUGCAAAUGAAAUGAUCAUUUUUAAUUAUGUUUAAAAGCAGUUAACAGGAAAGAUUGAUCUGGCUCUAAUCAUUUUGUAUUUAUGCUUAAUAUUUUCAAAAGAUACAUCUGGUAAGCAUUAAAAACACAGAUAAGUGCGUUCAACUUUGUUCUGUUGAUCAGGGGGAUACAGCUUACAUGUACACAUUUAUUCCAGGAACCAUACAUCAGAGCACGUAUGGAUUUGGUUUGAAUUUUUAUACUUUUUUGUUACCCAGUGGUGAUGCAUUUCUUUUACAAGACAGAGAAUAAUAUUGUCCUAAUGCCGUAGACCAGUUGGAUGAAAACCUGCCAUAGUCUAGUUGGAUGAAAACUUAGCUAAUAUAAAAAUGUAGGAAACUAGUGUUCAGUUGUUUUCAUAGCAUGUUCAAGUCUACCUGGAAUGUGCUACAUACAGAAAAUGGUUUCUCCAAAUGUGUUUAUUUAACACAAAAAUUCAUAACGUUGGCCAAAGUAUCACAAUUUGUUGCUGGCUCUCUUGUCCUUCUAGAUUUCAGUGUGCAUCUGUCUCCUUCUACACAUAUCUUUUAAUAAACAAAAGCCUUCCUGCCUCGUCAGCUACAAUUAAGUAAGUGAAAUAUUAUUUGAAAGAAAUUACUAGAAUAAAUUGAAAUAAAAAAAGUAUUAUCUCUGUUGCUGAAGUGUAGCUAUUCUUUCAGGAUUGUUUUUAGCUUUUUUUAAUCCAAAAUUAACAUGCUUUUGGAUAUUUUAAAUUUAAGUAUAGCUCCUUCAGAAAAGCAGAAAGGUGUUUAAACUCCUUCACAGAUUCGGAUUUAUUAACUCCACACAAGUAGAUCUUAAUAUAUUUUUUUCCACUACUUUAAUAAUUUUUCAGUCAUUUAGGAUACUUUUUUUUUUUUUUGAGAUAAUUUACUG